UCUUAUUGGAAUCGUGUGUUUUCUCGUAUC
rnacentral:piRNA from 1 species